rnacentral:rRNA from 1 species
GAUGAACGCUGGCGGCGUGCCUAAUACAUGCAAGUCGAGCGAACGGACGAGAAGCUUGCUUCUCUGAUGUUAGCGGCGGACGGGUGAGUAACACGUGGAUAACCUACCUAUAAGACUGGGAUAACUUCGGGAAACCGGAGCUAAUACCGGAUGAUAUUUUGAACCGCAUGGUUCAAAAGUGAAAGACGGUCUUGCUGUCACUUAUAGAUGGAUCCGCGCUGCAUUAGCUAGUUGGUAAGGUAACGGCUUACCAAGGCAACGAUGCAUAGCCGACCUGAGAGAGUGAUCGGCCACACUGGAACUGAGACACGGUCCAGACUCCUACGGGAGGCAGCAGUAGGGAAUCUUCCGCAAUGGGCGAAAGCCUGACGGAGCAACGCCGCGUGAGUGAUGAAGGUCUUCGGAUCGUAAAACUCUGUUAUUAGGGAAGAACAUAUGUGUAAGUAACUGUUCACAUCUUGACGAUACCUAAUCAGAAAGCCACGGCUAACUACGUG